rnacentral:tRNA from 1 species
GCUAAGUUGGUAGAGCACAAGGCUCUUAACCUUAUCGUCGUGGGUUCAAGCCCCAC